rnacentral:rRNA from 1 species
CGGCGUGCUUAACACAUGCAAGUCGAACGCUGAAGCCUGGCUUUUGUUGGGUGGAUGAGUGGCGAACGGGUGAGUAACACGUGAGUAACCUGCCCCCUUCUUUGGGAUAACGCCCGGAAACGGGUGCUAAUACUGGAUAUUCACUGGUCUUCGCAUGGGGGUUGGUGGAAAGGGUUUUCUGGUGGGGGAUGGGCUCGCGGCCUAUCAGCUUGUUGGUGGGGUGAUGGCCUACCAAGGCUUUGACGGGUAGCCGGCCUGAGAGGGUGACCGGUCACAUUGGGACUGAGAUACGGCCCAGACUCCUACGGGAGGCAGCAGUGGGGAAUAUUGCACAAUGGGCGCAAGCCUGAUGCAGCGACGCCGCGUGAGGGAUGGAGGCCUUCGGGUUGUGAACCUCUUUCGCUCAUGGUCAAGCCGCAACAAUGGUUGUGGUGAGGGUAGUGGGUAAAGAAGCGCCGGCUAACUACGUGCCAGCAGCC